ACUCCGAUUCAUCUGAAUUUUUAUAUGUGAGUCCAUCUGUGUGUCUAGUUUUUGUCUGUAAAGUUUCGUAUUUUUCUGACUAGUUUAGGUUAGGUAACUGAUUAGGUUUUCUACUGCUUGUCGCUAGGAUCAGUAGUCACUUUUGUGACAUCUUUUGAGUAGUUAGAUUCAUUUAGUCCUUUGCGGGAAUGAUCCUUAUUUGCCCAUACUAUAAACGACGAUCUAGUAGUGAAUAAGAAAAAUAAAAUUGGUUUAGAAACAACUGAUCACUCGACGACGAUGGCCCACGCUCGACGGUGACGAACAACACUCGAUGACGACGGAUGACACUCGACCAUGAUGGCCCAAGCUCGACUGUGACGAAUGACACUCGAUGACGACGGAUGAUGCUCGACGACAAUGGCCUGCACUCGAUGGCGACGAAUGACACUCGAUGAGGACGGCUGACGCUCGACGACGGAGACGGAAGAUGGACAACGCUUGACGGCGACGACUAACGUUUGGCACCUCAAUGUCGACGAUGCCCGAUGACGACACAAGAGAGAGAAGUGGAGGAAAUCUCAGCCCUAAUCUUUGUCACCGUCAUUGUCCGGCCAAUCUCCGAAGCCCAAAUUCAUCUGAUCAGGUAAAGCUUCGGCCUUCAAUUUCGAUUUUGCAAUUUCUAGGGAUUUGUUUCUCUUCGAUUUGGGGUUUUCAUCAUUCAAUCGCAAUUUUAGGUUCAAAUUGUUAUUUUUUUUAUAUUUGAGGGUUCCGGGCCGUCAGGACUCGAUUUGCGACAAUGAAGUGUUUUGGGAGUAGGGGCUCCGUCGAGGCUAGCGGCUACUGGUGCCAAGUGAGUGGCGGAUCCACCAGGUGUUCACCUCGAAGUCGUUCGUGAAUUGGUUGAUGGAGGUCUUUGUUGAAGUUGUUGUUAUCUUUGUUUCUUUGCAGGUUUGUUUUGACAGUAGCUGCUUUGGCAGUAGCAGCAUGCUCGCAUCAACUUGAACAGUAGCAGCGUCUUAACAUUAGAGUCUGUAGUAGCAGCGGGCUAGCAUCACCGUCGGUAGCAGAAAAUGUAGCAAAGCAUCGAUAGUAGCAUCAAAAUUGCUGAAAAAAAUUGCAAUAGCAUUGCCAGUAGCACUUGGGUAUCGGUAGUAGCACAUUCUUACUUGACAGUAGCACAUAGCACAUUUCUGGUCGACAAUAACAGUAGAAUUUGUAGUGAAUGGUAUUCUGGUAAAAUUAU
rnacentral:lncRNA from 1 species